rnacentral:rRNA from 1 species
CCUACGGGUGGCAGCAGUGAGGAAUAUUGGUCAAUGGACGAGAGUCUGAACCAGCCAAGUCGCGUGAGGGAUGACUGCCCUAUGGGUUGUAAACUUCUUUUAUAUGGGAAUAAAAUGUUCCACGUGUGUGAUUUUGUAUGUACCAUAUGAAUAAGGAUCGGCUAACUCCGUGCCAGCAGCCGCGGUAAUACGGAGGAUCCGAGCGUUGUCCGGAUUGAUUGGGUUUAAAGGGAGCGUAGGUGGAUUGAGAAGUCAGUUGUGAAGGUUUGCGGCUCAACCGGAGAAGUGCAGUUGAAACUGGUGUGCUUGAGUGCAGGAGAGGUGGGCGGAAUGCGUGGUGUAGCGGUGAAAUGCUUAGAUAUCACGAAGAACUCCGAUUGCGAAGGCAGUUCACUGGACUGCAACUGACGCUGAGGCUCGAAAGUGUGGGUAUCGAACAGGAUUAGAUACCCGUGUAGUC